GUGCUGGCUUCAGCAGCACACUUAGUAAAAUUGGAAAGAUACACAGAUUAGCAUGGCCCCUUGGCAAGGAUGACACGUCGUGAAGAGUUCCAUAUUUUU
rnacentral:snRNA from 1 species